rnacentral:rRNA from 1 species
UACGUAGGUGGCAAGCGUUGUCCGGAAUUAUUGGGCGUAAAGCGCGCGCAGGCGGUCCUUUAAGUCUGAUGUGAAAGCCCACGGCUCAACCGUGGAGGGUCAUUGGAAACUGGGGGACUUAGUACAGAAGAGGAAAGCGGAAUUCCACGUGUAGCGGUGAAAUGCGUAGAGAUGUGGAGGAACACCAGUGGCGAAGGCGGCUUUCUGGUCUGUAACUGACGCUGAGGCGCGAAAAGCGUGGGGAGCAAACAGG